AUUCAGCUGACGAGUCCCAAACAAGACGAAACGCGCGUCCUGGAU
rfam:Schistosoma mattheei strain Denwood, Zambia genome assembly, scaffold: SMTD_contig0004218